CAUUAAAACACGGAAUACCAGUCCCAUCUACUUGGUUAGAACUUUUUGGCUCCGCAUUUGCUAGUCCCACACUGUAAGUUUCAAGUGAUAUCGAUAAACAAGGCACUAAAGUACAAAGAUGACGACAAUAAUAGGAAAAAAAAAAUGACCAUGAUUGUGCUGUAAUUCUUUCCUAACUACUUAAACAAGAGCAUGAUGCUGCUCUCCAGACACAGGAAAAGAAGAUAGCCAACCAACCCAUCAAGUAGUACAUCAACAAGGAAAAGCAUAAGAUCACACAAUAGGUCGAACAUUAAAUAGAGACCAAGGUUAACAAAAAUUAUAAAGUUUUUUAUAUUGUGAUUACCUGGUCUAUGGAGUAUUGCAAACAUAUCAAAAAGGAAAUUAAGCAAGUUAAAAGCUAAGCUUCUCAUUAAAAACAAAUUUCCAAGCAGACUGCCUUCAUAUUCUAAUUGUUGAUGAUCCAUACAGCCU